rnacentral:rRNA from 1 species
CCCUAUUAUAUUUAAACAAAUUGGGUAGUAUUAUUAAUAAAAACCUUUAUACUUUGGCGGCAUUUUAUCUUAUUAGAGGAAUAUGUUCAUUAAUCGAAACCACACGAUAGUUUUUACUUACUAUAAAAUUUUAUAUACCCCCGUCUAAAGAAUUUAUUUAAAAUUUUUAUUCCAAAUUAUAUUAAAAAAAGUUAGGUAAAGGUGUAGACUAUUAGUAAGAUUAAAUGUAUUACAUUAAAAAAAAAAUUUAAGGAUAAAACAGUUAACUGUUUAUUAAAAGAGGAUUUAUAAGUAAUUUACUUUUAAUAAAAAUUAAUGAAUAAGAAAAUAAAUGUGCACAUAUCGCC